AACGGCCAUACCAUGCUGAAUAUACCGGUUCUCGUUAGAUCACCGAAGUCAAGCAUCAUUGGGCGCGGUUAGUAAUUGGGUGGGUGACCAUCUGGGAACACCGCGUGCCGUU
rnacentral:rRNA from 1 species